CACCCAAGAUGCAGCUGCUAAUAAGAAGAAAAAGAGAGGUCAGCGAGCAGCUGGAGCUGAUAAGAGUGGUAGAGGACUCCGCCAAUUUAGUAUGAAAGUGUGCGAAAAAGUGGAAAGCAAAGGAACACUACUUACAAUGAGGUUGCAGAUGAACUCGUAGCUGAGUUUGCUGACCCUAGCAACAGCGUUUCAUCUCCAGAUCAGCAACAAUAUGAUGAGAAAAACAU
rnacentral:misc_RNA from 1 species